AAUCAACGCUGGCGGCGUGCCUAACACAUGCAAGUCGAACGAGAAAGUGGAGCAAUCCACAAGUAAAGUGGCGCACGGGUGAGUAACACGUGACUAACCUACCCUUGAGUGGGGGAUAACCUAGGGAAACCUGGGCUAAUACCGCAUAAUACCUAUGGGUCAAAGGAGCAAUUCGCUUUUGGAGGGGGUCGCGGCAGAUUAGUUAGUUGGCAGGGUAAUGGCCUACCAAGACGAUGACUGUAUCCGGCCUGAGAGGGCGCACGGACACACUGGAACUGAAACACGGUCCAGACUCCUACGGGAGGCAGCAGUGGGGAAUUUUGCGCAAUGGGGGAAACCCUGACGCAGCAACGCCGCGUGGAGGAUGAAGACCCUUGGGUCGUAAACUCCUUUCGAUCGGGACGAUAAUGACGGUACGGAAGAGGAAGCCCCGGCUAACUUCGUGCCAGCCGCCGCGGUAA
rnacentral:rRNA from 1 species